CAUCGGGUCCCGGGCAAGGCAACGGUGUGAACCUGGUCAGGCCGGAAACGGAGCAGCCAUAAGCAUGCGGUGGCCUGUGUCCGGGGUGCCUGGUGGUC
rnacentral:SRP_RNA from 1 species